CUUAUACCCUUUGAGAAUGCCUUAUGAGCCCUACUGGCUGGGCUUGGCUAAACCCAUUUUAAAAGAUCUGUUUGUUUCCAUUCUCCACUCUGCUCCACCCCACCCUGAUCUGUUCCACCCUAGGGUAGACCUCAAAAGGAUAGACAAAGUGACCUUCUGAAAUUUCAGCCCUGGGAAAAAAAAGUCCCUAGUAACUGCUUAAGGGAUAUUUGUGGUUUGGAAAUUUGCUGGAGAGGCACAUCCUACCUAUUCCAAUCAUAUUAUGUUCCUUUCUUCAGUUAGAAGAAUCAAAUUACCUUUUCCAGGGACUAUCUGGCUUAUUAGUACUUUUUGUGUUACUGAGGUUACUGACUACAGAAUUUCAGAUUCUCUAGUUAGUGGAGUGCAUCAACUCAGUCCUAGAGUUCAGGCGAUUUGAGGAGGAGACUGGGAGAGGACCAAUUAUGGAAUCCAGGGCUGUUUCUGUGUUGCUGAUAGUGAGAUGCCUACUGGACACUCAUGUGGAGGAGGAGGCGGCAACUGGAUUUAUGAGGAUGGAGCUGGAGUGAAGUCAGAGUUGAAGAUAGAAAUUUAGGACUUAUCCUCAUUUCAAUCAAGAGUGAUUAACUUUUUUUAUGCCUUGAACUUUCUCAAAUGCCAAUCUGAUCAAGCCACACCAAAAGCCUCUGCAUGCCGCCUAUGUCAUGGGAUUGGUCCUGAGCCAGUCUUUCUCUAUUUAUGGGGGAUGCCACCACAGCAUGGCUUGACGAGCAGUGCUAGGUCUGCACCUGGGAUCCGAACCUGUGAAGCCAGGCUGCUGCAGCAGAGCAUGUGAACUCAACCAGUUGACCACCAGGCCAGCCUCCUGAAAAAAAUGUUUUUAAUUAUAUAUUUGGUACAAUGAUGGUAUAGGAGAAAAAGACAUGCUAAAAGUUUCUGAAGAGAGAGGUAAGAAAACCUUAAAGACACUGGAG
rnacentral:lncRNA from 1 species